CUGACCCAGACUGUCUACCGCAAAGUAACCGCACACAAAGUGCAUGCCAGCGGGGCCACGCGUCGGCGGCCAUUCCCGCGACGCCCUCUGCGGGCCGCGCUGCGAGCCCCGCCACGUGUGUCAUGGCUACUGUGCCAUCAGUGAUCUCAGUCUGCUGGUUCCCGGCUUUCUCGUGUCGUCAGUCCCUUAGCCGCAUGCACGCUGUUCCUUGAGGCUCAGGCGGACUCGUUGGUACAAAUCCUCAUCGUCCUGUCUUCACCCUCGUCCUGUUGUCCUGAAGUGACGCCAAUGUAGAUGAUGUCUCCCUCGCCCGGCGCCCGCAACGUGACAACUUCGUGUGCGGGAGUGCGGGCGAGGGGCAGGCCAGGUGAGGGAAGCAUCGCGGCACAGCGUGGCGGCUCAGCGGCGCCUCAAAGAACGUGUCAAAGUCAGGCCGCGCCGCUGAGCCUGAGUGACGCGCCUCUGAUACUCGCCGUGGCCGCGCUUUGGCGUCCGGAUGUGGCGGAUGCCGCGAGGAUUGUGAGGAGUGGCGAGGGACACGGGGCUGACGGCACCAGCGGGCCUCACCUGGGCCGUGGGUAUAAUUUCCCCGCCCCAGGCCUGCCAUUCACCGCCCGGGGCACCGCCGGCCACGGAAAGGUAAAUGGGAGUUGUA